UGGGGAAUAUUGGACAAUGGGCGAAAGCCUGAUCCAGCCAUGCCGCGUGAGUGACGAAGGUCUUCGGAUUGUAAAGCUCUUUUGGCGGGGACGAUAAUGACGGUACCCGCAGAAUAAGCCCCGGCUAACUUCGUGCCAGCAGCCGCGGUAAUACGAAGGGGGCUAGCGUUGUUCGGAAUCACUGGGCGUAAAGCGCACGUAGGCGGAUUUGUCAGUCAGGGGUGAAAUCCCGGGGCUCAACCUCGGAACUGCCUUUGAUACAGCAAGUCUAGAGUCCGGAAGAGGUGAGUGGAAUUCCUAGUGUAGAGGUGAAAUUCGUAGAUAUUAGGAAGAACACCAGUGGCGAAGGCGGCUCACUGGUCCGGCACUGACGCUGAGGUGCGAAAGCGUGGGGAGCAAACAGG
rnacentral:rRNA from 2 species